CCCGGGUCUUGUACACACCGCCCGUCACACCACGAAAGCCCGCUGCAACAGAAGUGCUCGCCUCGGCGAGUCCGAAGUUGUGGCUGGUGAUUGGGGUG
rnacentral:rRNA from 1 species